UCGUUGUCCUAGCUUCGACUACACUAAAAUUGGAACGAUAUAGAGAAGAUUAGUAUGACCCCUGCGCAAGUAUGAUACGCAAAAUCGUGGCGCCUCUGAAUUGCUU